GACCAAAAUCUUCUUACAGCAGCCAACAACGGAGUCCCAGUUAAGGAGGCGAACAUACCAAUCCCAACCAGCUGAAAAUGCAAUGUGAAAGUUGAAAAACUAUCUCAUACUGCAGAUUUAUUCGUUGGUUACUUUGUAUUGUCUACAAGGAUCCAGGGACUUGAUGAUGGAACGAAUGAACACUUGUACAGUUGAAAAAUGUGUUGUUGAAUUUAUAGUUAUGAGCGGUCAAUUGUCAUUUACUGAAGUUUCAACUUGACUCUUUCGAUCUGUUAUUUUGCAUGUUGAUGCAUGAUAGCAUUGGCA
rnacentral:misc_RNA from 1 species